UGGUGCUCUUAYUCCAUUAGAACCUAGGCUGGGAAAGAAGUUGAUUGAGCCCCUGACCAACCUUAUACACAGUUCUGAUCUCUCUCUCCUCCGGGAUGCCUAAUCACAGUGCCAGCAUCCAGCUUUGUGUUCAGAAGUUAAGAAUAUUAAUAGAAGAUUCUGACCAGAGCUGCUGCUCCGCACCCAGGCUCUCAUCACUGGAUCAUGACAAGGCUUGCUAGCAUCUGCCCUGCAGCAGAGGAGUUGCAGACAAUCCAGGAAAGUUUCUCUCUAAGAAUGUGCUCUUUUAU